UGGGGAAUUUUGGACAAUGGGCGAAAGCCUGAUCCAGCAAUGCCGCGUGUGUGAAGAAGGCCUUCGGGUUGUAAAGCACUUUUGUCCGGAAAGAAAUCCUUGGCUCUAAUACAGUCGGGGGAUGACGGUACCGGAAGAAUAAGCACCGGCUAACUACGUGCCAGCAGCCGCGGUAAUACGUAGGGUGCAAGCGUUAAUCGGAAUUACUGGGCGUAAAGCGUGCGCAGGCGGUUUGCUAAGACCGAUGUGAAAUCCCCGGGCUCAACCUGGGAACUGCAUUGGUGACUGGCAGGCUAGAGUAUGGCAGAGGGGGGUAGAAUUCCACGUGUAGCAGUGAAAUGCGUAGAGAUGUGGAGGAAUACCGAUGGCGAAGGCAGCCCCCUGGGCCAAUACUGACGCUCAUGCACGAAAGCGUGGGGAGCAAACAGGAUUCAGAUACCCUGGUAGUCCACGCCCUAAACGAUGUCAACUAGUUGUUGGGGAUUCAUUUCCUUAGUAACGUAGCUAACGCGUGAAGUUGACCGCCUGGGGAGUACGUCGCAAGAUUAAAACUCAAAGGAAUUGACGGGGUC
rnacentral:rRNA from 1 species